rnacentral:misc_RNA from 1 species
AACGCACAUUGCGCCCUCUGGUAUUCCGGGGGGCAUGCCUGUUCGAGCGUCAUUACAACCCUCAAGCUCAGCUUGGUAUUGGGCCUCGCCGGUUCCGGCGGGCCUCAAAGUCAGUGGCGGUGCCAUCCGGCUUCAAGCGUAGUAACACUCUCGCUUCCGGAGACCCGGGUGCGUGCUUGCCAGCAACCCCAAUUUUCCCAAGGUUGACCUCGGAUCAGGUAGGGAUACCCGCUGAACUUAA